AACGUAGGACGCGAGCGUUAUCCGGAGUUACUGGGCGUAAAGGGCGGGCAGGCGGUUCACAAAGUCUGGCGUGAAAUCUCCCAGGCUCAACCGGGAGGGUGCGUUGGAAACUGGUGAGCUAGAGGGCGGUAGAGGGUCGUGGAAUUCCGGGUGGAGUGGUGAAAUGCGUAGAGAUCCGGAGGAACACCAGAGGCGAAAGCGGCGACCUGGGCCGCACCUGACGCUGAACCGCGAAAGCCAGGGGAGCGAACGGG
rnacentral:rRNA from 1 species